UCUGAUCAUAGGUCGCGCUAGGUGGCGCUUCCUGAUUGCGAAGAGUGGCGGAGUAGCGGGAAGGGAAGGGCAACCGUCAUACGGCGGCAAGGGCAUUUGCGGCGUUGCGAGUUGGGAAUUGCGUAGAUUGGCGUCUCCUAGUUUUACAUACGCAUUGUUUCACAGAUUGUAUCUAUCUUGUCAGCUCGCUGUUAUUAGUAAACGUUUGUGCAGUAGAGAGUUGGUGUUCGUUUCUUUGUAAGUUGACGACGAGCGGCACAAAACCUUCCUUCGUUUCUAUUAAGCAGGUCGUCCCAACACACCACUCCGAUUACCUUUAAGCCUGCAUAUAAAACUUCAGCGGACGCCAUGUCAGAGCCGCCAGCUAAAUUUGCUCGACUGGAGUCAAAAACGCAAACCACAGAUGAUCCCCCAGCAGACGUCAGCAUCAUCGUUCAGUUCCAAUCGGCGAACGGCGACGACACAGG
rnacentral:lncRNA from 1 species